GACGAACGCUGGCGGCGUGCUUAACACAUGCAAGUCGAACGGUGACCCAGGGCUUGCCCUGGUGAUCAGUGGCGAACGGGUGAGUAACACGUGGGCAACCUGCCCCUGACUUCGGGAUAACUCCUCGAAAGAGGAGCUAAUACCGGAUACGACCACUUCGGACAUCCGAUGGUGGUGGAAAGUUUUUCGGUCAGGGAUGGGCCCGCGGCCUAUCAGCUAGUUGGUGGGGUAAUGGCCUACCAAGGCGACGACGGGUAGCCGGCCUGAGAGGGCGACCGGCCACACUGGGACUGAGACACGGCCCAGACUCCUACGGGAGGCAGCAGUGGGGAAUAUUGCGCAAUGGGCGAAAGCCUGACGCAGCGACGCCGCGUGAGGGAU
rnacentral:rRNA from 1 species